GUGGGGAAUAUUGGACAAUGGGCGAAAGCCUGAUCCAGCCAUGCCGCGUGUGUGAAGAAGGUCUUCGGAUUGUAAAGCACUUUAAGUUGGGAGGAAGGGCAGUAAGUUAAUACCUUGCUGUUUUGACGUUACCGACAGAAUAAGCACCGGCUAACUUCGUGCCAGCAGCCGCGGUAAUACGAAGGGUGCAAGCGUUAAUCGGAAUUACUGGGCGUAAAGCGCGCGUAGGUGGUUUUGUAAGUUGGAGGUGAAAUCCCCGGGCUCAACCUGGGAACUGCCUCCAAAACUGCAUGACUAGAGUACGGUAGAGGGUAGUGGAAUUUCCUGUGUAGCGGUGAAAUGCGUAGAUAUAGGAAGGAACACCAGUGGCGAAGGCGACUACCUGGACUGAUACUGACACUGAGGUGCGAAAGCGUGGGGAGCAAACAGGAUUAGAACCCCUGUAGUCC
rnacentral:rRNA from 1 species